rnacentral:rRNA from 1 species
AUUGAACGCUGGCGGCAUGCUUUACACAUGCAAGUCGAACGGUAACAGGUUAAGCUGACGAGUGGCGAACGGGUGAGUAAUGCAUCGGAACGUGCCCGAUCGUGGGGGAUAACGCAGCGAAAGCUGCGCUAAUACCGCAUACGAUCUGAGGAUGAAAGCGGGGGACCGUAAGGCCGCGCGCGAUCGGAGCGGCCGAUGUCGGAUUAGGUAGUUGGUGGGGUAAAGGCCCACCAAGCCGACGAUCUGUAGCUGGUCUGAGAGGACGACCAGCCACACUGGGGCUGAGACACGGCCCAGACUCCUACGGGAGGCAGCAGUGGGGAAUUUUGGACAAUGGGCGAAAGCCUGAUCCAGCAAUGCCGCGUGCAGGAAGAAGGCCUUCGGGUUGUAAACUGCUUUUGUACGGAGCGAAAAGGUCCUUUCUAAUACAAGGGGCUCAUGACGGUACCGUAAGAAUAAGCACCGGCUAACUACGUGCCAGCAGCCGCAGUAA